rnacentral:rRNA from 1 species
UGUUCAGGGGUAAACCUGUGGUUCCCGAAAGUUCGAACGGGGAGAUUCAAUUGCCUCGCCGGUUAUGACCAUUUAACAGUGAUAUGUUUAUAUAUAUAUUAGAGACAUUAUAUGGCGGUUGCGGGUUUAUUCUCGUAGCUGUUUCUGUGUAGUGCUCCACUGUUUUAUGAUAUAUAGUUUAUAGCCGGAGGCGUGCACUUCUCCCCUUGUAGGACGUCGUGACCCAUUGGAUUAUGUUGUCUAAGGCUUAUAAUGGAGACCGUGGCAUUAAGUUUCGGCUUUAAUGACCCGGACUUAUGAUGUCCCGACAUCUAUCCGAUGGUAUAUAUAUGAUGAUAGAUCGCUAUAAAUGCGUAUGAGCGUUCAGAUCCAUAACAAAUUCUUUAUAUGAGAUAAUAGUGGAAAUCGGAUUUAACGCCGAUUCUACACAUAUGGUAUUGAUAGUUAUGGUAUUCUCGAACCGUUUUUUAUCAUCAGUCAACGGCGUUUAUGUUUUGGGUAAUUACAGGACCCGUCUUGAAACACGGACCAAGGAGUCUAGCAUGUGCGCAAGUCAUUGGGACUUUGUGAAACCUAAAGGCGUAAUGAAAGUGAAAUAUUUGUGAAUUUUCGUAAUUCACUGAAUUUAAGGGAAGAUGGGUAACGUUAUUUAUGUUACCUCGCAUUCCCGGGGCGUCGCGUACUUAUUGCAAGUUGCGGCGCACCAAGAGCGUACACGCUGGGACCCGAAAGAUGGUGAACUAUGCCUGGUCAGGAUGAAGUCAGGGGAAACCCUGAUGGAGGUCCGUAGCGAUUCUGACGUGCAAAUCGAUCGUAUGAACUGGGUAUAGGGGCGAAAGACUAAUCGAACCAUC